AUGGGGAUGAGAUCUGAGGACCUGGUAUCUCAAGGGCUCUUGAGAGUUCAUUUUGUGAUUAAAGCCUGGCCAGAUACACAGAAAAAGCUCCAGAAGGUGGGAGGAUGUAGUGAACAGUCACUGAAGGCCCUCCUGUGGGAGGCCCUGAAGGU